CCUCUCCUGGACUCUGAGGGCAUGUGCACUCACAUGUACACACACACAUACAUGCACACAUACGAUACACACAUGUAUGCAUACACACAUAUAGACACACAUACAAUACACAUGCACACAUACACAUACAAUACACACAUAUACACACAUACAAUACACAUGCACACAUACACAUACAAUACACACAUAUACACACAUACACACAUACACAUAAACACACACAUACACACAAGCAUGCGCUUGCACACACGUGCGUGUGCACACACACACGGUACACAUAACUAAAAGCAAAAGCAAUUUUUAAAAAAUAAUUAAAUGUCUGAGGUAGGACAGAAUUCCCAACAAUUUCCCAAAUGGCCCUAAACAUGUUUGACAUUUUGCAUUCUGCAUCUAUGCUAGGUGGUGUUCUCAUCAAUCAACUCGGAAAAACGCUGAAGAUGCUCCCUGUCUUUUAGUGUCAAAUAUUCAGCCAAGAUCUAAUUCUUUAAAGCCCUGGCAACCAUCAUUCUCCUGCCUGGCACCACGGAUUUGACAGCGCCAGCAACCUUGUAUAUAGUAGUUAUUAUGACUAGCUUAUUUGUGGCUUUCUCUUUUUGAGACAGCAUAUAUGUAUCCCUGGCUGUCCUGGAUUAAGUCUAGAUGCUCAGGAGGAUGGAAUUAAUUGAGCUAAAAAAGUGUUUUCAAUGUUAAUAAGUAUGAAAGGGAGGAAUUUAUUAUCGACUUUAAAAGACACUUAAACAUGGCACUGACAUCAACUUCACUUUGCUGAGGUCCCUACUAUGGAUGUUGCCAUCACAACGGCAGGACAUCUGUGGGGUCACACGGCAGAGUGGGAGGGACAGUGUUCCCGAGGUCUAACCUCCCCUCCAGGCCCAUCUCUGAAAUGCUUCACUUCUCACACUUGCUGCACUAAGGACAAGGUUCAUGUAUCCUAGGCCACCCUCAAGUGAUGCCCACACCACAGCAUCCCCACAGCUGAACACUAAGGAUGCCUAUGCCCUUGUUCAUCCUUUUAUUGUUCACAAUGUUCCCCAUUUGGAAAAAAAUGAACUUUAAAGGUUGAAAGCACACACAUACACUAAAGGUUGAAAGCACACACACAGUA
rnacentral:lncRNA from 1 species